AUUCGAAAGUAGUGCCUAUUUCUAAAGAGUUCCUUUUCUCUUCUUGAAUAUAAGCCAUUUAACAAUGUGAGACAUGUCUUUUGUGGUUAUUUGUAAUAUCCUGUAUGUGCCUGGAGUACUUUGAUGCCUUGGAUUGGAAGCUAACUUAAAAGAUGAACUUUUGAGGGUGUGUUUUCUAUUGUGUGGGGCUUUUGUCGAAAUUAGGAUUCCGAAACGCGUUUUUCUACGGUGGGUUCAUUCGACAGCGAUUUACUUUCUUAGAAGUUGCGAGACGGUAUGUUUUUGAUUGCAAUUAUUGGAAGAUGACAGAUCCAUCUUUAAAAUUAUACCAGGUUCGGAAAAAUUGAUACGUCGGAAAGGCAAUAAAAAUGCUGUGAAAGUUGUCAGUUUUAUAAUGGGACCCUAUGGGAAUCGGAAUUAGUGUAAUAUAACCUUUAAAAAGCACAUUAACUGCAAUGUCAAGGUCACAUGGAUUCGUCUGCAAGCGAGACAAGUAGAAAAUGAAUUUUAAUGAAUGUUUUGAUGAUUUGGGUGCUAAAAUAGAUGAGAGAUGUCAAUAUUUUGGUCCAAAUGGAUGUUUUAGGUGGUUUUGGACUGUUCCGGAUGGGUGGGGGACCUGGUAUGGACAAGCCUGACCGUUUGUCCUUGAGCCGUAGAUGGUCAACAAUCCGCUAGCUGUCUUGCUCUGACUGGUGCACUGGACAUGAUUUCACUAGUUAGCCAGACCAUGAUUGAGCUUAAGGAUUGUGCUGCGGAUGCAGCCUGUGCAGUUCCGGGAGAAAGUCACUGUCUUGGGCAAUGCGGUCUGGUAUCAGGUCUGGAUGAUCCUUGCCUGACUGGGGGUUUGUGUACACCUCAAUCCGACUCUGUGUCCUGAACAGAGGCCGCAGUGGUGCAGCGCUUGUGGACGAUCCAUCAACAUCCUGAAAGGUCAACACUACACCAAGCUGGGAAAAUUGAUCCUGAUAGUCAUCCCCAGGCCUGACCGUUUGUCCUUGAGCCGUAGAUGGUCAACAAUCCGCUAGCUGUCUUGCUCUGACUGGUGCACUGGACAUGAUUUCACUAGUUAGCCAGACCAUGAUUGAGCUUAAGGAUUGUGCUGCGGAUGCAGCCUGUGCAGUUCCGGGAGAAAGUCACUGUCUUGGGCAAUGCGGUCUGGUAUCAGGUCUGGAUGAUCCUUGCCUGACUGGGGGUUUGUGUACACCUCAAUCCGACUCUGUGUCCUGAACAGAGGCCGCAGUGGUGCAGCGCUUGUGGACGAUCCAUCAACAUCCUGAAAGGUCAACACUACACCAAGCUGGGAAAAUUGAUCCUGAUAGUCAUCCCCAGGCCUGACCGUUUGUCCUUGAGCCGUAGAUGGUCAACAAUCCGCUAGCUGUCUUGCUCUGACUGGUGCACUGGACAUGAUUUCACUAGUUAGCCAGACCAUGAUUGAGCUUAAGGAUUGUGCUGCGGAUGCAGCCUGUGCAGUUCCGGGAGAAAGUCACUGUCUUGGGCAAUGCGGUCUGGUAUCAGGUCUGGAUGAUCCUUGCCUGACUGGGGGUUUGUGUACACCUCAAUCCGACUCUGUGUCCUGAACAGAGGCCGCAGUGGUGCAGCGCUUGUGGACGAUCCAUCAACAUCCUGAAAGGUCAACACUACACCAAGCUGGGAAAAUUGAUCCUGAUAGUCAUCCCCAGGCCUGACCGUUUGUCCUUGAGCCGUAGAUGGUCAACAAUCCGCUAGCUGUCUUGCUCUGACUGGUGCACUGGACAUGAUUUCACUAGUUAGCCAGACCAUGAUUGAGCUUAAGGAUUGUGCUGCGGAUGCAGCCUGUGCAGUUCCGGGAGAAAGUCACUGUCUUGGGCAAUGCGGUCUGGUAUCAGGUCUGGAUGAUCCUUGCCUGACUGGGGGUUUGUGUACACCUCAAUCCGACUCUGUGUCCUGAACAGAGGCCGCAGUGGUGCAGCGCUUGUGGACGAUCCAUCAACAUCCUGAAAGGUCAACACUACACCAAGCUGGGAAAAUUGAUCCUGAUAGUCAUCCCCAGGCCUGACCGUUUGUCCUUGAGCCGUGGAUGGUCAACAAUCCGCUAGCUGUCUUGCUCUGACUGGUGCACUGGACAUGAUUUCACUAGUUAGCCAGACCAUGAUUGAGCUUAAGGAUUGUGCUGCGGAUGCAGCCUGUGCAGUUCCGGGAGAAAGUCACUGUCUUGGGCAAUGCGGUCUGGUAUCAGGUCUGGAUGAUCCUUGCCUGACUGGGGGUUUGUGUACACCUCAAUCCGACUCUGUGUCCUGAACAGAGGCCGCAGUGGUGCAGCGCUUGUGGACGAUCCAUCAACAUCCUGAAAGGUCAACACUACACCAAGCUGGGAAAAUUGAUCCUGAUAGUCAUCCCCAGGCCUGACCGUUUGUCCUUGAGCCGUAGAUGGUCAACAAUCCGCUAGCUGUCUUGCUCUGACUGGUGCACUGGACAUGAUUUCACUAGUUAGCCAGACCAUGAUUGAGCUUAAGGAUUGUGCUGCGGAUGCAGCCUGUGCAGUUCCGGGAGAAAGUCACUGUCUUGGGCAAUGCGGUCUGGUAUCAGGUCUGGAUGAUCCUUGCCUGACUGGGGGUUUGUGUACACCUCAAUCCGACUCUGUGUCCUGAACAGAGGCCGCAGUGGUGCAGCGCUUGUGGACGAUCCAUCAACAUCCUGAAAGGUCAACACUACACCAAGCUGGGAAAAUUGAUCCUGAUAGUCAUCCCCAGGUAGUGGAAUGAAUGUACACUGAACUACAGAGGAAUCACACCCAAAUGACUUUCCUGCCACGACAUUAGUGUGGCCACUCGCGUAGGAAUUCCUUAGCAAACGUGCUCUUUUGCAUGGUGACUGUGGGCAUUUUUGCAAAACUUACGCUUUCAACACUGGAUUUUAAAGAGAAUACUUAAUAAAAUGUCGCUAACAGGACUUAUUUAUAUGAGAGAGACUAUCUGGAUGCGCAUUAAGUGUCACUUUGUGUCGUAAGCUGUUGAAGGAGCGCUUUGCGCCUUUUUAAGUGUUAAUUUUGGGUAGCCGGCUUGUAUCGGCUUGAAAGCUGCAAAUUAUGCCUCUCAUCAUAAUAGCAUUAAUUUUUGUAAUUGCAAUGUGUAUGUUUAGAUUGUAAGUGAAGCUUUUAAUAAUAAUUUUCUUAAAAAACAUGAUUUUA